ACGGGAGGCAGCAGUGGGGAAUAUUGGGCAAUGGGGGAAACCCUGACCCAGCAACGCCGCGUGAAGGAAGAAGGCCUUCGGGUUGUAAACUUCUUUUACCAGGGACGAAUUUUGACGGUACCUGGAGAAAAAGCAACGGCUAACUACGUGCCAGCAGCCGCGGUAAUACGUAGGUUGCAAGCGUUGUCCGGAUUUACUGGGUGUAAAGGGCGUGUAGGCGGAGCUGCAAGUCAGAUGUGAAAUCCCGGGGCUCAACCCCGGAACUGCAUUUGAAACUGUAGCCCUUGAGUAUCGGAGAGGCAAGCGGAAUUCCUAGUGUAGCAGUGAAAUGCGUAGAUAUUAGGAGGAACACCAGUGGCGAAGGCGGCUUUCUGGACUGAAACUGACACUGAGGUACGAAAGCGUGGGUAGCAAACAGGAUUAGAUACCCUGGUA
rnacentral:rRNA from 1 species